CCCCUUGCCUACCGCCCUUCCUGCCAAAUCGCCCGCACAAGCCCCGCAGGCUCCCAAUGCCUUGCACAGACGCACACAAGUGCAGUGCAGGCUGGUAGACAUGCCCGCCCCUUGCCUUCCGCCCUUCCUGCCAACUUGCCCGCACAAGCCCCGCAGGCUCCCAAUGCCUUGAACAGACGCACACGAGUGCAGUGCAGGCUGGUAGACAUGCCCGCCCCUUGCCUUCCGCCGUUCCUGCCAACUUAACCGCACAAGCCCCGCAGGCUCCCAAUGCCUUGCACAGACGCACACGAGUGCAGUGCAGGCUGGUAGACAUGCCCGCCCCUUGCCUUCCGCCCUUCCUGCCAACUUGCCCGCACAAGCCCCGCAGGCUCUCAAUGCCUUGAACAGACGCACACGAGUGCAGGGCAGGCUGGUAGACAUGCCCGCCCCUUGCCUACCGCCCUUCCUGCCAAAUCGCCCGCACAAGCCCCGCAGGCUCCCAAUGCCUUGAACAGACGCACACGAGUGCAGUGCAGGCUGGUAGACAUGCCCGCCCCUUGCCUUCCGCCCUUCCUGCCAACUUGCCCGCACAAGCC
rnacentral:lncRNA from 1 species